UUUCACCUCUGGUUGGCUAAGUUUUGGUAUUGUACUUUGUUCAAAAUGGAGCCAGCUAAAGUGCCAAGUCAAGUUUCAAGUCACGUGGCCCAGUAUCCGUCUCUGACAAGACACGUGUUCCUGUAUCCGUAUUUUCCCAGACACAUGGUCCAGUAUCCAUUUUUGCCCGGUCACGUGGUCCAGUAUCCGUUCCUGGCCAAACAGGGGGUCCAGUAUCCGUCUCGGCCCACACCCAAUGUUGUACAGUAUUCAUCUCUGCCCAGACAGGGGGCCCCGUAUUCUUCUGUGCCGAGACAGGUGGUCAAGUAUCCAUCUCUGCCUCCGUCUUGGCCACUAAUCAGGCGUUAUGUGGGCUGUGCGGAUAAGUGGCAAUCCAAGAUCUGUGUAGACCAUUGCCUGGGAAAAUGCUGUCGUUUCCAGUCAUCGUGCCCCUUGAUACACCCAUAUGUGUGUGGGUUGGGAAAAAGGCCUCCCUCCACAGUAUGAUCCGGUGCCCGUGAACAACUUCGACACUCCAGACCCUCCUGUUGACACGGACAGCGACUCGGAGGGGUCUAGCGUUAGCCAAACGAAGCCAUCGAAGUAAGAGUAUUUACGAUAUCGUGAGCGUCGAUGUAGCGGAAUGCUGGCGAGGGAGGUUUCCACAGUGUGAUGUGUUUGUCAACGCAUGCAUUGUUUUCGUUUCGAACAAAAUAUUCAAACUUGUCUGUCACAAUGCAUACAAAACGAACAAAGUCUCGUUGCAAAAAGCACGUAUCACGGAAAUGCACAUAUGUACACCAUAUUCAUGUUUUAGAGGUUUACAAUGCAUACAAUGUUCACGUUUUUGCAUACAAUGUUCACGUUUUGCGUACAAUGUUCACGUUUUUACAUGCAAUGUUCACGUUUUAGUUGAUACAUUGCUAGAGUAUAGCUAGAGUAUUGCAUGUAUAUAUGUAGGUUUUUGUUUGACAUUUACAAUGUUGUCGUCUGGAAAGAAUA